ACUGGCUUCCACUACCUGCGGGGGCAUGAGAAUCGGAGGUUACCAGCAGCUACUGGGGAUCCUCUGUGACCCUAUCUCCCGCUCUAUGCUCCUCCUCUACCUGACACCAAUGUGCUCCAAGAGUCGGGAGGGCACCGGCCACCUGUACUGCCCCCUGCUGAUGACAGUAUUUUGGGUGUGGGUGGGUUACUAUGGUGCGAGUGCCGGGCAGGAGGCACAGGACACAUGCCCACUGUCAGCGCCCGUCAUAUGCUCCAGAGUCCUGGCCCUAGGGCAUGGGGAAAUCCUAGGGCCAUCUGGGCAGGCAGAGCAGCACGGCAUACUACUGUCAGUGUCAGCACAGCUGAAAGUGAAACUACAGAGGAGUCCGAUCAGGGGGCGUGGCUACACGGGUCACUGCUGCCUUCCUGCAAUGUGGGAAACUGAGGGGAGGAAUGGCUCUGAGCUGCAAUACUGAACAUUGUGAUAUGCUGCCAUGUAAUUGUGAUGUGUUAAGCAGCUGCCCGGGAUCUGCCACCACGAGGAGCCUGACUGCCAGCGAGGAGAGAUGGGCCGGCCUGACCGUUACAUCGCGGAGAGUACCAUAUGUGGAGGGUGCUGCUGCUGCCUUCUCAUGUCCUCCCGAGGUGUGCUCGCACACCUGCUGCACUGCUCAAAGAGAGAGCCUGGAUCACAGGGUGAGGUGAGUGGGGAGCCAGGGAGGGAAACCACUGGGACAGGGUCGCACACUGCGGCCGCCAUCUUUCUGCACCUCUGCCUUAGUCACUCUAUACCUGUCACCCACUAUCUCCCUGUCAGCCCUGUCUCAGUCAAAGUAUAGAUAGCGUGGCGAGCCACCGUGCCCGCAGCAUGGCGAGCCCGCAAGGGGCUCAUUUGCG